GAAGUGCGAUAAGUGUCAUGACUUGCAGAUUCCCGAGAGCUGACAAAUUUCUGAAUGCAAAUGGCGGCCGCCUACAACGGCCAUGUAUUGUAGAGUGUAGUUGUUCAUACUCAUCAUCCAAGACCCAAUACUUCCGCUUCAUUGCGAUGUUGGUUCUUCUUGGGAUCUGCGCUUACCGCUCUUCUGCGUGUGAGCGUUAAAAAUCGAGAGAGGGCGCGUGUUUCCUCACAGAAACGCGUGUCCCCCUACUUCGGAUACCUCGUGUACUAGAAGUUUCCAAUCUCUCAACUCUUUAUCUCAGCCACCUCUACGAUGCAGGAGAACCCGCUGAACUUAA
rnacentral:misc_RNA from 1 species